rnacentral:rRNA from 1 species
AUCUGCCGUGGGCGUUGGAAGAUUGAGAGGGGUUGCUCCUAGUACGAGAGGACCGGAGUGAACGCACCACUGGUGUUCGGGUUGUCAUGCCAAUGGCAUGCCCGGUAGCUAAGUGCGGAAGAGAUAACCGCUGAAAGCAUCUAAGCGGGAAACUUGCCUCGAGAUGAGUCUUCCCUGUCACCUAGAGUGACCUAAAGGAACGUUUAAGACUAAGACGUUGAUAGGCUGGGUGUGUAAGCGUAGCGAUACGUUGAGCUAACCAGUACUAAUGAACCGUGAGGCUUAACCUGACAACACCGAAGGUGUUU